rnacentral:rRNA from 1 species
ACUCCUACGGGAGGCAGCAGUGGGGAAUAUUGCACAAUGGGGGAAACCCUGAUGCAGCCAUGCCGCGUGUGUGAAGAAGGCCUUGGGUUGUAAAGCACUUUCAGUAGGGAGGAAGGUAGUGUAGUUAACACCUGCUAUUAUUUGACGUUACCUACAGAAGAAGCACCGGCUAACUCCGUGCCAGCAGCCGCGGUAAUACGGAGGGUGCGAGCGUUAAUCGGAAUUACUGGGCGUAAAGCGCAUGCAGGCGGCCUGUUAAGUCAGAUGUGAAAGCCCGGGGCUUAACCUCGGAAUUGCAUUUGAAACUGGCAGGCUAGAGUCUUGUAGAGGGGUUAGAAUUUCAGGUGUAGCGGUGAAAUGCGUAGAGAUC